rnacentral:rRNA from 1 species
AGCGAACGCUGGCGGCAGGCUUAACACAUGCAAGUCGAACGCCCCGCAAGGGGAGUGGAAGACGGGUGAGUAACACUUGGGAACGUACCCUUGGGUUCGGAAUACCUGGGGGAAACUCAAGCAAUUCCCGGAUAAGCCCUUAUGGGGAAGGGUUUACUGCCGAAGGAUCGGCCCGCGUCUGAUUAGCUAGUUGGUGAGGUAAUGGCUCACCAAGGCGACGAUCAGUAGCUGGUCUGAGAGGAUGAUCAGCCACACUGGGACUGAGACACGGCCCAGACUCCUACGGGAGGCAGCAGUGGGGAAUAUUGGACAAUGGGGGCAACCCUGAUCCAGCCAUGCCGCGUGAGUGAUGAAGGCCUUAGGGUUGUAAAGCUCUUUUACCCGGGACGAUAAUGACUGUACCGGGAGAAUAAGCCCCGGCUAACUUCGUGCCAGCCGCCGCCGUAA